GAAGAAUUCGUCAUAUCACAUGGAGCAAAAUUAAAAAAUAAUAACCUGUCAUCCUCACAAUGAAGUGUGAGAAACUAGGAUAUGAUAAUGUUCAUUGAUUUUCAAUUUCAAAAGAAACAUUUAGCAACAAUAACACUUAAGGUUUAAAUAUUUAGUAGAAUAUAUCAAAGUGCUCGUUUAAACCCCUGUUUGGAAUCUAGAAUUUU
rnacentral:misc_RNA from 1 species